UCCCCGAUAGCUCAAUGGCAGAGCGAGCGGCUGUUAACCGCUAGGUUGUAGGUUCGAGUCCUACUCGGGGAG
rnacentral:tRNA from 1 species